rnacentral:lncRNA from 1 species
AAUAAAGGAAGCUAUAGCUAUUUUAAUCGGUUGAGGAUUGGGCAUGGUUUAUAUUGCUCUCCAUUCCAUUAAUGGUAAUUUGGAGAACUAUUUCUUUACUGCAACGAUUCCAUUCUAUAUAUUUAGCUACACUGAAUUGGUUAUGGCAAUCUGUACAACUAUUUCAUUACUGCAACAAUUUAUUUGAGGUAUGAUUAUCAUGAGCCUCAUGCCACUCUUACUUAUAAUUAUAUCAAAUAACUAUUCUAAGAAAGUAAAAAAAUAAGUUUUUUUGGAUCUCUCUCUUACACCAUGUUUAGAUGGUCCUCAAUCUCGGGCUAUUCAAACAAGGCCUUAGCAAGAAUGACUUUUUUGCUCCUUUGAUCAGUAUCAAAACAAAGAAAAUUAGUUUUAUAUGAAGUCAAAUAUCACAUCUUUACAGCCUUCUAAAUUGAUCAAUAAUCCUACACUUUUGCAGGGACCAUGCUCAAAAAGUAGUACUCAGGACAAUAUGGAUUUCAACAAAGAUGAGUACUGCAAAAAUCAAAGGAGGGAGUUGUAGUCAUCUUUAAUUCAUUGGUCUUUUGUUUUUACUUGAACGACUAGAGGGGAGGCCCCUGCAGCAUCGUUGUUG